CCUACGGGAGGCAGCAGUGAGGAAUAUUGGGCAAUGGGCGCAAGCCUGAACCAGCAAAGUAGCGUGAAGGAUGACUGCCCUACGGGUGGUAAACUUCUUUUAUAGAGAAGUGCAGUGAAGCACGUGUGCCUUUUUGUAUGUGCUUUAUGACUAAGGAUCAGCUAACUCCGUGCCAGCGGCCGCGGUGUUACGUAGGAUCCGAGCGUUUUCCGGGUUUAUUGGGUGUAAAGGGAGCGCAGACGGGUUGUUAAGUCAGUUGUCAAAGUUGGCGGCUUAACCGUAAAACUGCAAUUGAUACUGGCAGCCUUGAGUACAGUAGAGGUAGGCGGAAUUCGUGGUGUAGCGGUAAAAUGCUUAGAUAUAACGAAGAACUCCGAUUGCGAAGGCAGAUAACUAAACUGCAACUGACAGUGAGGCGCGAAAGUGUGGGUAUCAAACAGGAUUAGAUACCCUAGUAGUC
rnacentral:rRNA from 1 species